rnacentral:rRNA from 1 species
AUUGAACGCUGGCGGCAUGCCUUACACAUGCAAGUCGAACGGCAGCACGGGUGCUUGCACCUGGUGGCGAGUGGCGAACGGGUGAGUAAUACAUCGGAACGUACCUUAUCGUGGGGGAUAACGCAGCGAAAGUUGCGCUAAUACCGCAUACGCCCUGAGGGGGAAAGCGGGGGACCGUAAGGCCUCGCGCGAUUAGAGCGGCCGAUGUCUGAUUAGCUUGUUGGUGAGGUAAAAGCUCACCAAGGCGAUGAUCAGCAGCUGGUCUGAGAGGACGAUCGGACACACUGGGACUGAGACACGGCCCAGACUCCGACGGGAGGCAGCAGUGGGCAAUUUUGGAGAAUGGGGGCAACCCUGAGCCAGCAAUGCCGCGUGAGUGAAGAAGGCCUUCGGGUUGUAAAGCUCUUUUGUCAGGGAAGAAACAGCAGCUCUAACACAGUCUGCGAAUGACGGUACCUGAAGAAUAAGCACCGGCUAACUACGUGCCAGCAGCCGCAGUAA